rnacentral:rRNA from 1 species
UACGGGGGGGGGCAAGCGUUGUUCGGAAUUACUGGGCGUAAAGGGCCAGUAGGCGGCCAACUAAGUCGGAUGUGAAAUCCCCCAGGCUCAACUUGGGAACUGCAUCCGAUACUGGAUGGCUUGAAUUCGGGAGAGGGAUGCAGAAUUCCAGGUGUAGCGGUGAAAUGCGUAGAUAUCUGGAGGAAUACCGGUGGCGAAGGCGGCAUCCUGGACCGACAUUGACGCUGAACGGCGAAAGCUAGGGGAGCAAACGGGG